rnacentral:siRNA from 1 species
UACCACCGCCACCUUAACGCCUC